rnacentral:rRNA from 1 species
AUUGAACGUUGGCGGCAUGCCUUACACAUGCAAGUCGAACGGCAGCGGACCUUCGGGUGCCGGCGAGUGGCGAACGGGUGAGUAAUAUAUCGGAACGUACCUUUCAGUGGGGGAUAACGUAGCGAAAGUUACGCUAAUACCGCAUAUUCUGUGAGCAGGAAAGCAGGGGAUCGCAAGACCUUGCGCUGAUUGAGCGGCCGAUAUCAGAUUAGCUAGUUGGUGAGGUAAAGGCUCACCAAGGCGACGGUCUGUAGCGGGUCUGAGAGGAUGAUCCGCCACACUGGAACUGAGACACGGUCCAGACUCCUACGGGAGGCAGCAGUGGGGAAUUUUGGACAAUGGGCGCAAGCCUGAUCCAGCCAUGCCGCGUGAGUGAAGAAGGCCUU